AUUGAACGCUGGCGGCAGGCUUAACACAUGCAAGUCGAACGAGUGGCGGACGGGUGAGUAAUGCUUGGGAAUCUAGCUGAUGGAGGGGGAUAACUACGGGAAACUGUAGCUAAUACCGCGUACCAUAAGAUGAGCCCAGGUGGGAUUAGGUAGUUGGUGGGGUAACGGCUCACCAAGGCGACGAUCGCUAGCUGGUCUGAGAGGAUGACCAGCCACACUGGGACUGAGACACGGCCCAGACUCCUACGGGAGGCAGCAGUGGGGAAUAUUGCGCAAUGGGGGCAACCUGAUGCAGCCAUGCCGCGUGAAUGAAGAAGGUCUUCGGGUUGUAAAGCUCUUUCGGUAGCGAGGCGUUAACUACAGAAUAAGCACCGGCUAACUCCGUGCCAGCAGCCGCGGUAAUAC
rnacentral:rRNA from 1 species